AAGUAGAGGUUGCGUCAAUCAUCAGUAAUCCGGCCGUAUGUGACAGGCACAGGGGAGGGCCGGAAGAAAGGGAACGACGCCGAAGAGGGCAGGUAUCCUGUAAGCAGACCCUCUGGGCAUAGGAUUAAGAAUCCUGUGACUGUCAUCCCGGUGGAUGGAGAGCUACA
rnacentral:ncRNA from 1 species